UCGCCUGUUUAUCAAAAACAUCUCUAAAUGAUUUUUUAUUUUUAGUAAGACCUGCUCAAUGACCUUUUUAAAUUGCCGCAUUCAAUGUGCUAAGGUAGCAUAAUCAUUUGCCUUUUAAUUGUAGGCUAGUAUGAACGGUUAUUCAUGCGGAUUCCUUUAUUAACUUUAUUUCUUCAAUUUUUCUUAUAAGUUAAAAGACUUAUAUUAAUAAGAGGGACGACAAGACCCUAUCGAGCUUUACUUAUUGUUGAACUGGGGCGGUAAAAAACUAAAUCUUUCUUAUUUUCUUUCAAACACUCUUUUUAUAAAUUUACAAGUUACCGUAGGGAUAACAGCAUAAUUUUCUUUUAAAGUUCUUAUUGAAAAGAAAGUUUAUGACCUCGAUGUUGAAUUAUUAAUCUUUUUGAAGCAAAAUUUAAAAAAGAAAGUCUGUUCGACUUUUAAAACUUUACGUGAUCUGAGUUC
rnacentral:rRNA from 1 species